rnacentral:lncRNA from 1 species
AUACAUCAUUUAUUGAUCUUGCAAUUAAUUGUAAUUUAGUUUGGGUCUUAUUUCUUGAGUGUCAUAUUUUGGCUAUGUUUGUUGGUCGAUCAAACAGUAUAAUAAGUCGGUAGUUGCCCGCGAAUGGAUUUUUUUUUAAUUUCUUGUGACUCUUUGCGUCUUAUUUGUUGAUUGCAGUUGGUUUUUGUUUUGUGUCAUGUGGAGAUAUGGUGUGAUUUUGUUUUUC